CUCCUGGCGUUCUAUUGUGUUCCGUCUGCAUUUCGACACGGCACCGCUGCACUACUGGACUACAGCAAGCUGAUGGCAUCCGGUGGAACUUCGUACGGAAACGACUGCUGCUUAUCUGGUGCCAUGAUUUGGAUGAAUGCAGAAGAAGCCCGGAACGAGCAUUUAUAGAGAGCAAAAUAAACAUUUCAUCAUUUCAAA
rnacentral:lncRNA from 1 species